GGAAUACACUUGGAGCGUCAUCUCAGCGAGGUUGCCCUGCAGACGGCCCUUUCUUGUUCUUCUCGACACUAUGCUGGGAGAUCCUUCCAGAUUUUCAGGGCACUGAAGCAGCCCCUGUCUGCAAAUACACUCUCCGAUGUCCUCUCCAGGCUUGUGGAAACCGUAGGGGACCCAGGGGAGGACGCACAGGUAAGGUUCCUUCUGCCUCCUUUUAGGCACUUAUGAGCUGCUCCCAGGAGUGAGGGAUUUAUCCCUGAGGCCAGAUCCACACAACAGCUAUCUAAUGACUGAUGUCAGUUAGCAGCACACAGAACAGUGGGAAGCAGAGUAAAGUCUCCUGCUGACAAUUUAAGAACCUAUUUAGAUCCUAAUUUAUGCCUGUUAGAUAAAGCUUUUUCAACGCAUAACAUCUGCAUACUACCUAGAUCUCACUCACUCCAACUGUAGUCACCCAACUGUAGGAGUGUUAGAAUGUUAAAUUUCAGUGGGAAGAGAAACGGAGUUUCAUUUUUAAAGC
rnacentral:lncRNA from 1 species